AUGUUUAAUAAAGAUAAAGAGGGUGGUAAUCCUAGACCACAGAGAUAUAUGCGUGAAUUUCAAGAUGCUUUGCAGGGUUGUGACCUGGAAGACGUCGGUUUCGGGGGAGACAAAUUCACAUGGAGGCGCGGACAUAUUCGUGAACGUCUUGAUCGUGGGGUAACAAACCAUGUCUGGUCAAAUAUGUUCCCUGAUGCAGCGCUAAUUCAUAUGGGUUUUGCAGCAUCGAAUCAUCGACCAAUCCUUCUUGAUACGUCUUAUCACUAG
rnacentral:rRNA from 1 species